GGAUUAGGCAUGCAAGUCGCACGAGAAAGGUUUCUUCGGAAGCCGAGUACAGUGGCGAACGGGUGAGUAAUGCAUAGACAACUCACCCUUGAGAUGGGGACAACGCCUCGAAAGGGGUGCUAAUACCCAAUGCCGCCUUGGGCCUGCGGGUCCAGGGUGAAAGGAGGCCUCUGAUUCAAGCUUCCGCUCAAGGAGAGGUUUAUGUCCUAUUAGCUAGUUGGCGGGGUAACGGCCCACCAAGGCUGCGAUGGGUAGCCGACCUGAGAGGGUGACCGGCCACAUUGGGACUGAGACACUGCCCAGACUCCUACGGGAGGCUGCAGUCGAGAAUCUUCCGCAAUGCGCGCAAGCGUGACGGAGCGACGCCGCGUGGGUGAUGAAGGCCUUCGGGUUGUAAAACCCUGUCAGCUACUACGAAACACGGGCGAUGAACAAUCGUCCCGUCUGACUUAAGUAGCAGAGGAAGCACCGGCUAACUACGUGCCAGCAGCCGCGGUAAUACGUAGGGUGCAAACGUUGUUCGGAAUCACUGGGCAUAAAGGGCGCGUAGGCGGUCUGAUAAGUCAGGUGUGAAAUCCCUCGGCCUAACCGAGGAACUGCAUUUGAUACUGUCGGGCUAGAGUACAGGAGGGGAGAGUGGAAUUCCUGGUGGAGCGGUGAAAUGCGUAGAUAUCAGGAGGAACGCCGGCGGCGAAAGCGACUCUCUGGCCUGUUACUGACGCUGAGGCGCGAAAGCUAGGGGAGCAAACGGGAUUAGAUACCCCGGUAGUCCUAGCCCUAAACGAUGGGCACUAAGUAGAGGGGUUUU
rnacentral:rRNA from 1 species